AUGUCUCGCAACAACAACUAUUUGCUCCACCCUUUCACCUCCACAUUCAUCCCUUUCUUCCGCCACUUACCGAAUCAAAUUUCCUUUCUCCGCGUCCUCAAGCUAUCGACGCUAGAACCUCCACCUUCGCCAUUGACGACAUCUCCGCUUCCAACUACCAUGAUGCCUCUGUCAAUUGCAUGA